rnacentral:tmRNA from 1 species
GGGGCUGAACAGGUAUCGACUCCGAUCGACCGAUACAGGGGAAGCGAGCCGAGGACUCCGAGUUACCUCGUUAAUUGACCUCGGAACACUAAUAAAUGCCGCUGCUUAAAAGCACGGUCGCCAUCCACUAAAGCGAUGGCCGUCGGCCUGAGAUGGGCCCGCGAUCUCAGGGUCCGGCGUCGUCUAGCGGGCUCACCUUCUUUCGUCUGUCUGGGGGCGUCAGAAGGGACAUCACACCCCGGGCUAGGUCUCCGCCAGCGCCGUUCGCGGGCCGGCGGGUCCGAAAACCAACCGCGAACUACGCUCGUAGAAGUCCUGUAACGGGGUUGGGGGACCCGGGUUCGAUUCCCGGCAGCUCCACUU